ensembl:snRNA U6 U6 spliceosomal RNA
AUGCUUCCCUUAGGAGCACAGAUACUAAAAUUGGAAUAAUACAGAGAUGUGGAUGGCCCCUGGGUAAAAAUUCAACAUGCAAAUUCAUGAAACAUUUCAUACUUGU